GAAUAACAAGGGAACCAGCCUACCCUUUUCUCAUCGUAUCUUCCAUCUUCCUCUCUCUUACUCCACCACCGCCGCCGCCAUCGACGUUCUUCACCCAAGCUGCCAUCCUUCUCUCCCUCCUAGACCAGAGGAAUCUAAGCACGUUGUGCGGUGGAGGAGCUGGGCUCAAUCCACUCCUCCUAGCCACCGUGGCGCCACCGAUCAAUUCAAGGACGUUGUGCGGUGGAGGAUCUCGGCUCAAUCCUCUCCUUCCGAAGGAGGAUGGCGGCGCAGAGGAGAAUCUCUGGGCGCCCUUCUCCCUCACCCCUCUACGGCGCCGGCGGCAGCGCGCUCGCCGCAGCGCGCGGUGAUGAAGAGGAAAGGAAGGCGGAGCCGGAUGGAGGCGUCUUUUCCGGAAGCUUCCCUACAGCGGGAGCGGCUGUCGUCGCCCAACAGUUCUUUUCAGCGAUGGCGGCGGCGUCGACGCAACAGACGGUGGAGCGGAAUAUCCUGGUUGAGGUAGCAGGGGUAGGAUAGUGGGCUCGGCUGGCAUCCAGGGCGAAGAAGCGGGGCGGGCAUCUGUCCAAGAGCUUGCAGGUGUACAUCUGGUUUGAUUUGCCCGCGGGGAUCUUUAGUUUGCUUCGACAGCUUCUAUUACCGGUGGAGGCAAAGGAAUUUUGGUUUGGUUUUGCCGUCUGCCAUGGUUACAAAGGUCUGGGAGGCAGAGUACGCUCGGACUUGU